rnacentral:rRNA from 1 species
UUGAUCCUGGCUCAGUCUGAACGCUGGCGGCAUGGCUAAGACAUGCAAGUCGAGGGAGAAGCAUCUUCGGAUGUGGACACCGGCGAAAGGGCGAGUAAUGCAUGGGAACGUACCCCGAGGUACGGGAUAGCGUCGGGAAACCGGCGGUAAUACCGUAUGAGCUCCACGGAGGAAAGCUUCGGCGCCUUGGGAGCGGCCCAUGUGCUAUCAGGUUGUUGGUGGGGUAAAGGCCUACCAAGCCGAAGACGGCUAGCGGGUGUGAGAGCACGACCCGCCGCAUCGGGACUGAGACACUGCCCGGACUCCUACGGGAGGCUGCAGUAACGAAUCUUCCGCAAUGCGCGAAAGCGUGACGGAGCAAUGCCGCGUGUGGGAUGAAGCUGCUUCGCAGUGUAAACCACUGUCAGGACCUAGGAAGAACUGACCGGGUCCAGAGGAAGGGCCGGCUAAUCUCGUGCCAGCAGCCGCGGUAAGACGAGAGGCCCGAGCGUUAGACGGAAUCACUGGGCUUAAAGGGUGCGUAGGCGGGCGCGCAAGCAUCACGUGAAAUCCCUCGGCUCAACCGGGGAACUGCGCGGUGAACUGCGUGUCUUGAAGCGUGUAGGGGCCGCCGGAACGUACGGUGGAGCGGUGAAAUGCAUAGAUAUCGUACGGAACGUCGAUGGCGAAGGCGGGCGGCUGGGCACGACUUGACGCUGAGGCACGAAAGCGUGGGGAGCAAACACGAUUAGAUACCCUGGUAGUCCACGCCGCUAACGUUGUGCGCUAGGUCGAUGCGGGUUUGGCCCCGUGUCGUCCGCAGAGAAAUCAUUAAGCGC